GGGGAACUGAAGAGCUUUUCAGAUUUCGCUCUUAAGUGUUUUACUCAGUUGAAUUGUAUUAAAUGCGUCAUUCGCUCUCUCAAAAAGUCACAUAAAAAAAAAAAAAUAAUAAUUGACCGCGUAGUUUUUGAGUUAUGGCCAUAGCAACACCAUAGCAACGAGGGACGCGCCGUCCUGCCGACCCCUACCUCGUGACGUAACUUCCAGGAAGCCUCGCCACCACUCUGAACACGGAAAUAUAGCACCACGCUAUCCUCGCCAUAUAUUGCAAACAUUUUCUGGGUUUUACUCGCGGGAUUCGUCAUGCCAUCUCUAUGUGUAGCGAUAUGAAUUACUCACAGGAAGACUCGAGACUCUAGGAGUGGUCCAAAAAAAAACUUCUGCAAAGCCACGACAGCUUUGAAAACCUACAACAAUGCAACCUUGGUUUUCCAAAGACGAAGCCAAACAUAAAAAAUUAAGUGGCGGAAACCCUCAACACGAUGAAAAAAGCGUUGCAAGUCAGUUGCCACCCAGUUUCCCAAAAUCAAGAGAGAGUGGGUCGAGUCAUAUGAUGACCGAAGUGAUGCGGUGUCCAGCGAUGACGACUGAAGAGAUCCUAUGAGGCCUGCCAGAUGCUGAAUUUCUUCCGUCUGCGACAUCAGAUGACGAUGAUUUAGGAGAAAUAAAUGUAGCAAAUUUUGAUGAUAUGAAAUCAUAAACUAGUCAUAUAUACAGUACACAUUUUUUAAAAGAAAAAUCAAGUUACCUUCAUAUUUUAAUGAUAAUGCAUUAUCUUUGUAUAGAGAACACUU